CAGACCACCCCUGCCCCGGGUCCUGGACUCAACGUCCUGGUUCUGGAAACUCCUGUGGGCAGGGCCUGGGCUGUGCACAGAGGGGACCCCAGCUGCUGACAGCUGAGUGGACAGUACCUGAAAGCAGAGGCCUUGUGGCAGUUCGGGCCCCAGGGACAGACCAGGGUGGGAGACGGCGGUCCAGGUGGGCCCAGCUGGGGACGACCGGGUGCUGGGAGACCUAGAGGGUCCCUGUACUCCUGGAGACUCCUCUUUGGCGGCCCAGCCUCACCUCCUGUCUCCCUGCCUUCACGGGACCCCAUACAAACCAGAGGUGCAGAUGGGAGCCCUCAGACGUGUUUACAGGCUGACAUAUUCUUUCAGGGGUCAGGUGCCCAGGGGUCUGGCCCCAGGCCAGGGUCGGGGGGGGCAGGGGGGCGGCCACUCUGGUUGGGCUCCAGCUCUCACCCCUGUGCGAGCUGAGGGUUCAUCCCCCCACCAUGACCCAGGCCCCCUGGACCCUGGUGGCAUCCGAGCCCCUGACCUCUGACCUAAACAAGGGCUGCCUGCCGCGGCCCCAUCCUCCUCCGACCUCCUUGGCACUAACUGGCUGAACUCUGACCCUGGGUUGGAGGGUACCCACUAAGUGAGUGGGAAGAGAGUUGAGAGCAGGGGGAAGGGCCCCAUAUUCCUGGAGCAUCUGCUGGACAUGAACCACGCCGUCCAUCUUCCCACGUGACCACGAGGCCAGCUGCUGCUCAGGGCAGGGACGGGAAACCCAGAGGCGCAUGAGAAAGGAGGCCCCAGUGGUGGGUGACUCGCAGCGAAGCCGCCCGUGGUCCCAGGUCCCCAGCGCGCUGAACAGCCGCCCCCUCCAGGAGGUGAACCUGCGACUGUGCGGAACACCUUAAAGGUGGGGGCAGCUGGGCCUGACGGAAGGAGGGAGCCUGACGGAUGGGGGCUGCUGCCAAACAUGAGUGGAGCCAGAGACCCUGGACGGUGUGUCUGGCGCUCAAGGGGGCCCGGCCCCCUGCAGGAUGGUGGUUUAGGGCACCAGUGGGAGCCACCAGGGCACGUGGGGCCAGAGGCGGGGCAGGCAUCUUUUACGCAAAAAGUCUGACCUUCGUGGAUGAUCAGCGUAGGAGGCUGAACCACGCUCCCUCUGCCCCGAAGACGUCCGUGUCCUAAUCCCCGGAACCUGGGAAUAUGUUAUCGUACAUGGAAAAGGGGACUUUGCAGGUGUGAUCAAGCCACCUGUUGGCCGGGCCCUGUGCGUGUCUGCUCUGCCUCGGUCUCAGUUGCCUUUGGCGUCAUGUCUCCUUGGUCUCUUCCGACCUGGAAAAGCUCCUCAGUCUCCUCUUCUGUUUCGUGAAUUUGACUUUUCGAAGAGCACUCGUCAGAAACUGCACAAAGACCAAGCCUUCCCGAACAUCUUCCUGCUGCCUGCUGUGUCCCUUGCACCCAGAACAAUGCGUGGCAAGU